rnacentral:lncRNA from 10 species
AUCAGGCCACUGCACUCCAGCCGGGGCAACAGAGCGCAACUCCGUCUCAAAACAAACAAACAAAACAAAACAAAAAAAACUUAUAGACAAGUACAAAAUGAGAAGAAAAAGUCCCUUUCCCUUCAUGCCUCUACUUCCUGCUGUAUUCUCAAAGGUCUUGGAGGAAGGCAUCCUUCUAUUCUACUGAUCAGAAAGCUGGACAAAGUCCCACUGCCAGGCUACACAGUUGGUGCCAUUUGCGGAGGCCCACCCGCAGCGGUCACGUGAAGGACCGAGCGCCGCGCGCCCAGGCGGGGCCUCCGGCCUGCACGAGGAGGGCAGAGUCCGUUGCGGCUGCCGCCCCGACGCCCGCGCAUCCCCGCUCGCCGCGCCCGCCGCCGCGAUGUCCGGGGCCGGCCUAGCCGCGGUGGUGAGCUGCCUGCGCCCGCAGCCCGGCGAGGAGCCGCAGACCCAUGAGGACCUUCUCCUGGCAGCUGCCUAUGUUUUGGAUGCCCAGUACAACAGAAAUGUUCCAUUUGAAACUCACCUCAGGCCAUCAGACGUUACUAUUUUUAUAACCACUAGACAACGCAGGUUGCCGCAUACUUCUUUAUUUGUGUAGACCUCGCUCUUGCCCUGUUUGAAGAGUCUGAGUUGCUUCCCCUGCCUUUCUUGGCCACCUCAAUAGCAGAAGUACUCUGCCUGACUGCAUACUUUGGCAGACUGGUACAUUUUGCAAAAGUCACUCCUCAAAUGGUUUUCUGGAAGGAUACAAAAGACAUCUGCACCAUGGUAACCACAGUGGCGAGUGUUCAUUGUAGUACCUGUAAGAGUU